ACUGGGUUUGUACGUAACUUCAGCUUUAGGACCCAGGAGGUCGCAUAUCUAGGAUGCAUUCGUCGAUUCGCAUGCUGCGAUUGGUGGUCCAGAUGCAACUCAUUUUGAGUGACAGAAAAACUGACCAAUCAUACUGUUCCUCUGAAUGGGUGGGUUCUCUUAUCACUAACUCUCAUAGAUAUGUAUCAUGUAUGUAUCUAUUAUGACAAAUUCUGCUCGCUCGCUCGCUUGGUUCGUGUUAUAAAAAUAAAUGUGACUUUACUGCGGUCUUUUUCGGUUUAUUUAGUUUUGUGUUAACUAUAUCCACAAAGUAUUCGAAUAAAUUGGUAAUAUAAAACUAUUCUUCGCUGUAAAUUAAUUGUGUGCUCAAUUGCGACGCCCUGUGUUGAAUUUUCCCGCGAGUACAGUAUCAUUACUGAGGGGAAAUAUAACAUUAUUCAUUUAAUUCCACAAAAGGCCUGUAACGUACUGCAGCUUCCUGCAGGCAACGUGAAACAUUGCUGAGGGAGAACUUUAUUCACAACAAAAGGAUAAAGAUGAAGAUGCGGGACUUGAGCAGCUUGUGAUGGCUGUAAUUGUUAAGAAUGGAUCUUCUAGGAGUGGAAGCCCAAAUGAUGCUGGAAUUAUUAUUGAGGCCUUAAAGGUGUUCACAGGGCAUGCUUUAUCCUUGGAUCUAUGAAUUGAAUCUCCAGUAUCCCAGGCAUCUUUUCAGGUGUUUCAGAAACUUUUCUUGGAGCUGGAUUCUUAAAAGUUUAUGAACUGAUUACAGUACAGUAAGUCUAAACUGCUGUCUGAUUUUCUGGGUGUGAAUCAAUGUAACAGAACACAAACAUGGAACCUUGUGGACGGGAAAUGUGGACGGUUUCUUUAAAGACUGUAAAAUACUUUUUGAAGUUUACACUGUUACAAAUACAUCAUUAAAAUGAGAUGCUUUCCUGCUUUUUUGACUGACUGCAAUAAAAUAAGAAUUGAUUCAUCUUUGUCUGUCAUUCUGAAAUCAGAUAUAAUACUCAUUACUAAUAAAAAUAUUAAUGGAUGAUGUUAAAUUAAAAUAGUAUAAUUGAAUAGAAUUUAUUGUAUAGUGCUAGGUCUUUGUCCUGUAUACCCAAUAUUUUGUUUAAAUUUAAAUUAAUUUCUAAUUGCAAAUUGCAGAUUACCUUUUUGAAUGGGUUACUAUUAAGGAGUUUAUGUAGUGAUUCUAACACAAUUUUUAUUUGUUGAAUUUAAUUAAUGAUAUUGCUUGUAAUCUGUUGCCACACUUUUAUUGAGUAGAUAUGGCAUAAUAUUUUUUAUUGUAUAGUGCUAGAUCUUUGUCUAGUAUACACAAUAUUUUUGUUUAAAUUUUAAUAAAAAUUUUAAUUGCAAAUUGCAGUUUGGCUUUUUGAAUAUGUAAAUAUUAAGGAGUUUAUAGAGUAAAUCUAAAUCAAUUUUGAUUUGUUGAAUGUAAUUAAUGAUAUUGCUUGUAAUCUGUUGCCACAAUUUUAUUGAGUAGAUGGGGCAUAUUAUU